CGACUCCUAAGGCGAGGACGAAAGGCGUAGUCGAUGGGAAACAGGUUAAUAUUCCUGUACUUGCAUAUAUUGCGAUGGAGAGACGGAGAAGGCUAGGCCAGCACAGCGAUGGUUGUCUGUGUUUAAGGCGGUAGGCUGGUGACUUAGGUAAAUCCGGGUUGCCUUAAGGCCGAGAACUGAUGACGAGCCCUCUUUUGGGUGAAGUGGUUGAUGCCAUGCUUCCAGGAAAAACCUCUAAACAUAACACUGUAUUAGACCGUACCUCAAACCGACACAGGUAGACGGGUAGAGAAUACUAAGGCGUGGAGAGAACUUGGGUGAAGGAACUAGGCAAAUUGGUACCGUAACUUCGGGAGAAGG
rnacentral:rRNA from 13 species